AACGCGAAGAACCUUACCUACUCUUGACAUCCUCGGAAUCCUCUAGAGAUAGAGGAGUGCCUUCGGGAACCGAGAGACAGGUGCUGCAUGGCUGUCGUCAGCUCGUGUCGUGAGGUGUUGGGUUAAGUCCCGCAACGAGCGCAACCCUUACUCAUAGUUGCUACCCGCAAGGGAGAACUCUAUGAGGACUGCUCCGGAUAACGGAGAGGAAGGUGGGGAUGAGGUCAAGUCAGCAUGGCCUUUAUGUCCAGGGCUACACACGUGUUACAAUGCGCGCUACAGAGGGUUGCAACCCCGCGAGGGUGAGCUAAUCCCCAAAAGUCGUCUCAGUUCGGAUUGCACUCUGCAACUCGAGUGCAUGAAGUCGGAAUCGCUAGUAAUCGCGGAUCAGCAUGCCGCGGUGAAUACGUUCCCGGGCCUUGUACACACCGAGUAUA
rnacentral:rRNA from 1 species